CGGACGGGUGAGUAAUGUCUGGGAAACUGCCUGAUGAGGGGGAUAACUACUGGAAACGGUAGCUAAUACCGCAUAACGUCGCAAGACCAAAGAGGGGGACCUUAGGGCCUCUUGCCAUCGGAUGUGCCCAGAUGGGAUUAGCUUGUUGGUGGGGUAACGGCUCACCAAGGCGACGAUCCCUAGCUGGUCUGAGAGGAUGACCAGCCACACUGGAACUGAGACACGGUCCAG
rnacentral:rRNA from 1 species